rnacentral:rRNA from 1 species
GACGAACGCUGGCGGCGUGGAUAAGACAUGCAAGUCGAACGGGACUAAAUCUGUAGCAAUACAGGUUUAGUUUAGUGGCGAACGGGUGCGUAACACGUGGGGAAUCUGCCGAGAAGUGGGGGAUAGCUCGCCGAAAGGCGAAUUAAUACCGCAUAUGAUCAGCCAAGACAUCUUGGCGAAAUCAAAGCCGGGGCAACCUGGCGCUUCUUGAUGACCCCGCGGCCUAUCAGCUAGUUGGUGAGGUAACGGCUCACCAAGGCUAUGACGGGUAGCUGGUCUGAGAGGACGACCAGUCACACUGGAACUGAGACACGGUCCAGACACCUACGGGUGGCAGCAGUCGAGAAUUUUUCUCAAUGGGGCAACCCUGAAGGAGCGACGCCGCGUGGAGGAUGAAGGCUUUCGGGUUGUAAAC